CGGCCUGGGCGCGGCCUGGGCUCUGAUCCUUCCCCCUCUCCAAGUCUGCACAACCUCUCAGGAGGGUGAGCUGCUCCACGGAGGUGUGACAGCACCGGCAGGCAGCUGAGCGGUCAGUGGGGAGGCUGACCGAGCCCACAGGGAGCCCCUGUUUGCAGCGGUUUCUCAGCCCCUGCUGCCACCAUGGGAACUUUUAUCACUGACAGGAUUGGGGCAGAACGCCUCCUUAAAACUAAUUACAGCAAGUUUUUAAAUACUUUAAAGAGACAGAGAGCUCUCCCAUCUGCUGGUUCACUCCCCAAAUGGGCACAAUGACCACGGCGGGUCUGGUCGGAAGCCAGGAGCCAGGAGCUUCUUCCAGGUCUCCCACGUGGGCGCAGGGGCCCCAGCACUUGGGCCAUCUUCUACUGCUUUCCCGGGUGCAUUAGCAGGGAGCUGGAUCGGAAGUGGAGCAGCCGGGACUAGAACUCGCGCCCAUAUGGGAUGCCAGUGUCGCAGGCAGCAUCUUUACCUCUACUGCACCAUUUCUGGUCCCAAAGCAAAAUCCCACAAAAGGCCACGUGCCGGAUAAUUCCUGCUCACUGAAGGGUGCUCCUGGCUCUCACCGGGAAGAGCCUUCCUUUCAGGUUUGAAGGCAUGGUGACACUUUGCGUCUCAUCAUAAGGCCCUAAAAUUAGAGAUGGCCACAGACCCUCCAUAGCUUUAGUUUAAAAAAAAAGAUUUAUUUAUUAAUUUGAAAUAAAUUUAUUAUUUGAAAGAUGGAGUUAUGGAGGGAUAGAGAGAGAGAUAGAGAGAGAGAGAGAGUCUCCCAUCCUCUGAUUCACUCGCCAAAAAGCUGCAACAGUCGGGGCUGUGCCGAUCCAGAGCCAGGAGCCUGGAGUUUCUUCUGGGCCUCCCACGCAGGUGCAGGGCCCAAGGACCUGGGCCAUCUUCUGCUUUCCCAGGCCACAGCAGAGAGCUGGAUCAGAAGAGCAGCAUUCGGGACUUGAACCUGUGCCCACAUGGGAUGCCGAUGCCACAGCGCCAGCCCCAGCCCCGUGGCAUGAAUUUCAGCAGCACCUUCAGACAGCACCCUUGUACACCACACCCGAGACCCAGGUGGUCCAGAGACCAUGUCCAAGGGUGGUGACGGUGUGCUCAGAGACUACUGUCCAGCUAACGGGCAGCACGGACAGCCAGCCCUCUGCCUCGGGCCCCGCACCCACGGUUGCAACUGUGGACGGAAGACGCUUGGGAAAAGGCUGCUUCUGCAGAGCCGCGACGGGGGGCCUCGUCCCCAGCAGCAGAGGGGCAGGUAGACCAGAUGGGCAGGUGGACCAGAGGGGCAGGUAGACCAGAGGGGCAGGUGGACCAGAGGGGCAGGUGGACCAGAGGGGCAGGUGGACCAGAGGGGCAAGUAGACCAGAUGGGCAGGUGGACCAGAGGGGCAGGUGGACCAGAGGGGCAGGUGGACCAGAUGGGCUUGCUUAGUGGAGAUGGAUGGGACAGGCUCUUCAUGCAAGAGUUGACGCGAGACAGGAGCAAGGGCCAAUGGCGUGGGGACCUCUCCCACAGGACCCCAGAGCCCCUAGUUCACCGCUGGACUUGGGUCUGUGUUCCUCCACAAAGGACUGGCUGAGUGUGAAUCAGAUGAAACUCCUAAGGUUUCAUACCUAGUGGUACCACGCAAGGUAGCCCCCCCACCCCCAAAGCCGGGACUACCUGCAGUGCUAGAAGUGUGGGCAGGACUUUGUAGUGUAAAAUACAGGGCUUCCAAGGCUGUUAGUUUUA